CCCUUAGAUGUCCUGGGCCGCACGCGCGCUACACUGAACGGAUCAGCGCGUUUUCCCUUCCCGAGAGGGACGGGUAACCUGCUGAACCCCGUUCGUGGUAGGGAUCGGGGCUUGCAAUUAUUCCCCGUGAACCAGGAAUGCCCAGUAAGUGCAAGUCAUAAGCUUGCGUUGAUUACGUCCCUGCCCUUUGUACACACCGCCCGUCGCUACUACCGAUUGAACGUUUUAGUGAGGUACUCGGACUGAGCCUCAGAAGAUUCACGUCUUUUGUGCUGCUCGGGAAGAUUCCCAAACUUGAGCGUUUAGAGGAAGUAGAAGUCGUAACA
rnacentral:rRNA from 1 species